UCGUAGGGUUGGCAUCUGUUCGCCAAUCAUUGGAAGGUUUAUUUCGUACUAAAUACGAUCAACCUACUUGGAUUACAAUGUACGAUCUACCUACUUGGAUUUUCUUCGAAAAAUAUUCUAAAAAUGAGAAAUUGAUCUAUCUGUUUGUCAACUACUGUGAAAAAUCUAAUCAAAAGAAAUAACCAGUAGAAAAGAAACAAAACAUCACGAGAAUCCCAUUCAGUUAACGUAUUUUAAUGUAUCUUUAUCAAUUAAAAUAGGAACUAUUAGAAUUAAUCACAGAAAAAAAGGAUGUAUUUACCUACUCAAGUGACAUAAAAUUCUAGCCUCUUAUAUUCUUCUUUGAGACGCUUCUCUUUUUAACGAUUGGUAUACAAUUUCCAUAAAUGGGCUCUCCAGAUGAUCUCAGUAUUCGGAAUGCAUUACAUAUAAUAAGGAAUAACACGCUAAAAGCGCUGCAUAAAAUGGUACCUACUGGACGGUCUAUUGGAAUACUCUCGAUGUGGUCUGAGAGCGAACAAUGUUGUGAGGGAUUAUACGUGAUGAAACUGAAAUCCCCACCCUAAUGAGGUUCUGUUCAUUGCUUCCCGUAUUAUCUCAAGCAAUUAUCUGCUACUCCCGUCCUAUUG